UCCUUGACCUAAUUUUCUCUUUUCUUUCUCAAGUGCAAACAGUUGUGCUCCUUCCUUUCUCCGCCGCUGUCCAAAUAUGAAGCUGAAGCUUUCUCUUCCGCCUCCUGAUGAAGAAUCUUUCGCUAAAUUCUUAACUCAAAGCUGUACUUUUAUGGAUGGCGAUCUGCUUGUUAAUCGCGAUAGGGUUCGUAUUGUCUCUCAAAUUAAACCUGAAGCUAUGCAAGAGAUGUGGAAGAAUAUGCAAAAUGGUAUGCCACUUAGCGGAGGAGCAGGGAUUUGAGGAUCGCAGGCCAUCGAGUCUUCUUUCUUAUUUUUAUUAUUAUGAUGUUUCUAUCGUACUUAUAUACCUUAAACUACAAUAUAUUGACAUAUGUUGAACAUAGGAGUUAACUUUUAAUUUGAAUAUUUGGUUGUAUAAACUUUUAUAUAUU